UACGUAGGGGGCAAGCGUUAUCCGGAAUUACUGGGUGUAAAGGGAGCGUAGACGGUAAUGUAAGUCUGGAGUGAAAGGCGGGGGCCCAACCCCCGGACUGCUCUGAAAACUAUGUUACUAGAGUGCAGGAGAGGUAAGCGGAAUUCCUAGUGUAGCGGUGAAAUGCGUAGAUAUUAGGAGGAACACCAGUGGCGAAGGCGGCUUACUGGACUGUAACUGACGUUGAGGCUCGAAAGCGUGGGGAGCAAACAGG
rnacentral:rRNA from 1 species